GACGAACGCUGGCGGCGUGCUUAACACAUGCCAGUCGAACGGAAAGGCCCUGCUUUUGUGGGGUGCUCGAGUGGCGAACGGGUGAGUAACACGUGAGUAACCUGCCCUUGACUUUGGGAUAACUUCAGGAAACUGGGGCUAAUACCGGAUAGGAGCUCCUGCUGCAUGGUGGGGGUUGGAAAGUUUCGGCGGUUGGGGAUGGACUCGCGGCUUAUCAGCUUGUUGGUGGGGUAGUGGCUUACCAAGGCUUUGACGGGUAGCGGGCCUGAGAGGGUGACCGGCCACAUUGGGACUGAGAUAAGGCCCAGGCGCCUACGGGAGGGAGCAGUGGGGAAGAUUGCAGAAUGGGCGGAAGCCGGAUGCAGCAACGCCGCGUGCGGGAUGACGGCCUUCGGGUUGUAAACCGCUUGCGCCUGUGACGAAGCGUGAGUGACGGUAAUGUGUAAAGAAGCACAGGCUUACUACGUG
rnacentral:rRNA from 1 species